UGAACAGCAUAUAACGAAUAGAAGUGGUC
rnacentral:sRNA from 1 species